rnacentral:rRNA from 1 species
UACGUAGGGGGCAAGCGUUGUCCGGAUUUAUUGGGCGUAAAGAGCGUGUAGGCGGCCUUGCAAGUCCGUUGUGAAAACUCGAGGCUCAACCUCGAGACGCCGGUGGAAACUGCAAAGCUAGAGUCCGGAAGAGGAGAGUGGAAUUCCUGGUGUAGCGGUGAAAUGCGCAGAUAUCAGGAGGAACACCCGUGGCGAAAGCGGCUCUCUGGGCCGGUACUGACACUGAGGAGCGAAAGCGUGGGUAGCAAACAGG